AACAAACGCUGGCGGCGUGCCUAAUACAUGCAAGUCGAACGGGGAAAGCUUUCGGGUGAGUACUAGUGGCGCACGGGUGAGUAACGCGUGGAUAAUCUGCCUUAGAGUGGGGGAUAACUAGUCGAAAGAUUAGCUAAUACCGCAUAAGACCACAAGAACUGCGGUUCAAGAGGUCAAAGGUUUUUCGCUCUAAGAUGAGUCCGCGUAAGAUUAGCUAGUUGGUGAGGUAACGGCUCACCAAGGCGACGAUCUUUAACUGGUCUGAGAGGAUGAUCAGUCACACUGGAACUGAGACACGGUCCAGACUCCUACGGGAGGCAGCAGUAGGGAAUAUUGCACAAUGGAGGAAACUCUGAUGCAGCGACGCCGCGUGAGUGAUGAAGGCCUUCGGGUCGUAAAGCUCUGUCGCAGGGGAAUAACACAAUGAAUGUACCCUGUAAGAAAGGAUCGGCUAACUUCGUGCCAGCCGCCGCCGUAAGAC
rnacentral:rRNA from 1 species